UUCCUUUUUCUUCUUUGUCCUUCUUUUUUCCCUAAAUUAAAAAAAAAAAAAGUUAAGUUCGGUUUUCCUAUAGAUCUAGAUCUGUAUAUAUAUAUAUAUAUAUAUAUAUGUUUCCUUGGAAUCUCCAAAACUUGUUUAAGAUCAAAGUGGUGGGUGAAUUGAGUAUUUGCAGGAAGAGGAGGUGGAGAGAAAGAUGCAGGAUUCGGAAACAGGGGAGAUUCCUGAGGAUCUCAUGAUCGAAAUAGCGGCGAGAUUGCCUGCGAAAUCGGUGAUGAGGUUCAGGUGCAUCUCAAAGUUCUGGUCAUCUCUCCCUUUGUCGACACACUUUUGCAACCGUUUCCUGACGUACCAAUCCCAGCAACCUCGUUUCUACAUGUCGUUAGUGCACCGCCUAGAAAACACAAAAUCUCUACUUCUAUCAUCCACUCCAACAACCACAUGUCCAUGUCCAUGUCCGUCUUCCUCCUUAGAAUUCCACCAAGACCUCACCAUCGGUGGUGGGAUGGUGGGCAACUUACUACGCGUUCUCCAUGGCUUCAUCUGCUUCACGGUGAAGUCAGAGGCGCGUAUCUAUAACCCCAGCACCAGACAACUUGUCAUCUUGCCUUGCAUACAAGAAUCUUUUGUCAAAGGAUAUCCCCAUUAUUUCAGUCUCUACUUUAUCUGCCACGACCCAGUCAGCGAUCAGUACAAGCUACUCUGCGUAAUUACGGCCUUAUUCUCUAGACAAGGACUAGACGAACAAGAAAAGGAAGAAUUAGCAAGUGUCCCAGAGACUAUUUCAGAGCAUUGGGUCUUUGUACUAGAAGCUGGUGGUUCGUGGAAAAGGGUUGCAGAAGAUUUUCGAACUCCUCACCAUCCUUCCCGUCAACAAGUGACUAUGAACAAUGUUUUAUAUUAUAUGGCUUUCACUGAUUCUUCACAGACUUGUGUUCUUGUGAGUUUCGACAUCAGGUCUGAAGAGUUGAGUAUGAUUAAACUACCUCCUCCCCCUGGGAAGAGGUUGGCUCUAAUAAACUACGGUGGCAAAGUAGCUGUCUUUGACUUCUCUUUGCUCAAAGAGAAUGGCUUGGUGGAUCUGUGGGUUGUGGAACAUUGGAGGAACAAGGAAUGGUCAAGGAAGACUCUGUUUUUGCAGCCUUGUCAAAUGCAUUUAGUCACUCACUGUUUUUUCACGGCAAAAGGUCUCCAGCGAAUCGAUCCUUUCAUGAGGAGAUCCUAAUCACAGCAGCUCAUGCUACCUUCUAUGAAUUCAACAUUGAGAUCAGUCAAUGGAGUCGUAAGGAUGUUGAAGGGUCUUUGUUUGUUGUCAAAAGAAGUAAACAAGAACCUCGGUUUCAGUUUAUUGUAAUGAAUCAUGGGAACACAGUGUUUUAGUUUGUUUAAAGCUAAGGGAAGGUCAGGGAAGGCUUACCCGAUGAUUUUGUUUUGAAUUCUUGAUUAAGGAGAUUGUAUUAGUAAUCAUCAGUGUAUUGUUUAAAUUUUGUCUGGGCAGAUAAUCUGGUGGAAGAUCUCCUGGGAGAUUUUGAGCCUGAGAAGAGUACUCUGAAAUUUGAUGUUUCUUAGCUAACUAGCAACCUAAUAAGAAACGCAAAAUGGGAAGACCAAUUACUCUUACAGUGCCUCCUGCAGCAUCAUCUUCGCAGACCGGUUCUCUCACACGGUAACUUAUCCGAAUCAGACACUCUGACUACUAUAAAUCAAGAACGCCGCAUAGCUAAAGAUUCUGCUCGAAGUGCCAGACAGCUACGAAUGGAGAUUUGUGUAAAGAGAAAAAAAGGGCCCAGAUAGCUGGAUCUUCAUCGGCAUCUGCAUCUACUUCCGGAAGCUCAAAAAGACCACGUGAAAAUGAUCUCAAGACAUAUGACAAAUGGGAGUUGGUCUCAUGUCCAUCCUGUAAAGCGUUGUUCUGGAAUGCUGAAGCACCUCGAGUUCAGACAAACCAAGAGAGCAAGCAGUUUAGUCUUUGUUGUCAGAGAGGUCGUGUGAGACUUCCACCAGUUCGGGAGCCACCGUCUCCAUUUCUAGAGCUUUUAGAGUCGCCGAGCUUCAAGCCCCACAUCAGAAUUGCUAACAGUUUGCUUGAUUUCCCCUCUAUGGGUGCCAAAAUUGAUAAGAGCGUCACUGGGUAUGGACAUGAGAAGAUCUCCAUGACUCCAUCAUCAAACGUAGGUAUCAUCAUGAAUAAUAUCAUUAUUUGCUGACUAUAGACAGAUUCAUGUUCUUUAAUGUUCCAAAUGAUGUUGAUGCUAGAACCGCUUGGUCACAGUGCAAUUUGAAGGAUCCUAGGUCAAUCUUAACUUCGAUACCUAUGUCUUUAUUUCAUUGUCUUCAAAAGAUGAUAUACUGACUCUUCUUAUGUCAUGUAUCUAAUUAUCUCCUUGAUUAUCACAUUAAAGACCAGCUAACUUUGUUUGCUUGGUUUUUUAUAUUCAAAAGUGCCUUCUCAGAUCAAUGAAAACAUUUUUGGUUUGUUUA